rnacentral:rRNA from 1 species
AGCUCCAAUAGCGUAUAUUAAAGUUGUUGCAGUUAAAAAGCUCGUAGUUGGAUUUCUGGCAGGAGGGACCGGUCACGCACUCUGUGUGUGAACUUGGCUCCCUCUGGCCAUCCUUGGGGAGAUCGUGUUUGGCAUUAAGUUGUCGGGCAUGGGAUACCCAUCGUUUACUGUGAAAAAAUUAGAGUGUUUAAAGCAGGCUUAUGCCGUUGAAUAUAUUAGCAUGGAAUAAUAAGAUAGGACUUUGGAACUAUUUUGUUGGUUUGCGUUACGAAGUAAUGAUUAAUAGGGACAGUUGGGGGUAUUCGUAUUUCGUUGUCAGAGGUGAAAUUCUUGGAUUUCCGAAAGACGAACUACUGCGAAAGCAUUUACCAAGGAUGUUUUCAUUA